rnacentral:rRNA from 1 species
AUUGAACGCUAGCGGGAUGCUUUACACAUGCAAGUCGAACGAGUGGAGGACGGGUGAGUAAUAUAUCGGAACGUGCCCAGUAGCGGGGGAUAACUACUCGAAAGAGUGGCUAAUACCGCAUAAUGUUGUAUCGGCCGAUAUAGGAUUAGCUAGUGGGUGGGGUAAAGGCUCACCAAGGCAACGCGCCGUAGCUGGUUUGAGAGGACGACCAGCCACACUGGGACUGAGACACGGCCCAGACUCCUACGGGAGGCAGCAGUGGGGAAUUUUGGACAAUGGAGGAAACCCUGAUCGAGCCAUGCCGCGUGUAUGAGAAGGCCUUCGGGUUGUAAAGUACUUUUGGCAGAGAAGCGGUAUCUGCAGAAUAAGCAACGGCUAACUACGUGCCAGCAGCCGCGGUAAUAC